rnacentral:tRNA from 1 species
GGGGGUGUAGCUCAGUAGUAGAGAACGUGCUUCGCAUGCUCAGGUCCUGAGUUCAAUCCCCAGUACCUCUG